rnacentral:rRNA from 1 species
GAUGAACGCUGGCGGCGUGCCUAAUACAUGCAAGUCGAGCGAACAGACGAGGAGCUUGCUCCUCUGACGUUAGCGGCGGACGGGUGAGUAACACGUGGAUAACCUACCUAUAAGACUGGGAUAACUUCGGGAAACCGGAGCUAAUACCGGAUAAUAUAUUGAACCGCAUUGUUCAAUAGUUAAAGACGGUUUUUCUUUCACUUAUAGAUUGAUCCGCGCCGCAUUAGCUAGUUGGUAAGGUAACGGCUUACCAAGGCAACGAUGCGUAGCCGACCUGAGAGGGUGAUCGGCCACACUGUAACUGAGACACGGUCCCGACUCCUACGGGAGGCAGCAGUAGGGACUCUUCCGCAAUGCGCGAGAGCCGGACGGAGCAACGCCGCGUGAGUGAUGAAGGUCUUCGGAUCGUAAAACUCUGUUAUUAGGGAAGAACAAAUGUGUAAGUACCUAUGCACGUAUUGACGGUACCUAAUCAGAAAGCCACGGCUAACUACGUG